CGCUCUCUCUCUUAUCUGAGAGAGACCGGACCUUGAGCAACAUCUUCUCAAAAUCGUUACGCAGAGAGCUGGUCUCCUCAAUCACUCAUUCAGAGCAAUAAUGUCAAUAGAGUGGUAAUUCAACUUUUGAUGAUUGGUCCAAUAAGUGUGUGAAUGAAUAAAGUACAGCUGGGUUGUCCUGGAUUUGACCCAUGCAGACGGAAGGGUCAGUGAAGGACCACUCUGCCUUGUGUGUUGCCAGUCCCAGAGAGAGUUUUUCACCUAGUAGCCCAAACUUCUUUGCCCCUACACGCGUGUUGACAUUAUGGUAUCUACAAAACACCUGAGGCAAUCAGACCGUACUCUGCAACCAGCUUUUCAUCUAAACAGUAUUGGCUGCUGGCCCAAGGGUUAUAGGUUGAUGUAUGUGAUUUUUUUUUGGUUUGUUUGUUUGUUUUUUAUGUUUGCCAUUCUAAUGCCUGCAUUUGUCAUUUUUUCACAGGGAAGGCCCUCGUCACAGUAGCGCCGUAUGAGGAGCACAUGCAGAAUGGUCUCGAGCUCCAAGCCGUGUGGAUCCAGUCUAGUGUCUCCUCAUUCUCAAGCGAAGAUGGGUAGACACAGAGAGAGAGAGAGAGAGAGAGCGAGAGAGUGUGAGUGAGGCACAGAGAAAGAGAGAGCCUCAGGGAAGACCUUGUGUGGAAGGCUGGGAAUGGGUCUCUGAAGCACACUUAAUGCUGUCUUUAAAAUGACCACUCGCUGUUGCCACCGCCGGCCAUGAAAUCGCUUCAUUUUAACAAGCACCCUGAGUUCCAUCCGCGCUCGCCUGCUGAUGCUCUGCUUCUUGUAAUGCCAUUACGUUUCAUUUACUUUUGCCUCUUCGCUUGUCUCUGUGGUGUGUGUGUGAUGUUUUUUUUGUUUUUUUUUAAAGCAAACCAAGAGUACUGUUUGUUCAAGCCAUCACCCAUGGUUGCAUGCACCCUUACACAAUGGAAUGUGUGGAAUGGAAAGAAGCGACCUAUGUCUUUGUAGCUCCUCUGUCGUGUGCCUUAAUUGCCAUGCCGAUGUUGGUCCUGCUCUCGUGAGCAGAAGAAGUGCCCUAGUGAACGUGCCAGAGGAAGUGCCUUGCACUUAUCGCUGCGUUUGCAGAAUGAGUGCCCCCCCGCAAUUAAUAUUAACUGUACAGGCUCAGUUACUCUUCAGCAGCCAACAGACCCGCUUUUCUUUUCUCCCCCUCCCCCUCCCCCUUUUGCUUUAGAGGGGAUAGGAUGCUAAUGGUGCUUUAACUUAUGUAGUCAUUUCCCUCUUCUCUUCCUCCAGAGAUGUUGGAAACUGAAGGCUGCCUUGCACUCAUCAUUCUGUCACAUAUGCGCGCAAACACA
ensembl:lncRNA